rnacentral:rRNA from 1 species
UGAUAUGAACCGUUAUAACCGGCGAUUUCCGAAUGGGGAAACCCAGUGUGUUUCGACACACUAUCAUUAACUGAAUCCAUAGGUUAAUGAGGCGAACCGGGGGAACUGAAACAUCUAAGUACCCCGAGGAAAAGAAAUCAACCGAGAUUCCCCCAGUAGCGGCGAGCGAACGGGGAGCAGCCCAGAGCCUGAAUCAGUAUGUGUGUUAGUGGAAGCGUCUGGAAAGGCGCGCGAUACAGGGUGACAGCCCCGUACACAAAAAUGCACAUGCUGUGAGCUCGAUGAGUAGGGCGGGACACGUGGUAUCCUGUCUGAAUAUGGGGGGACCAUCCUCCAAGGCUAAAUACUCCUGACUGACCGAUAGUGAACCAGUACCGUGAGGGAAAGGCGAAAAGAACCCCGGCGAGGGGAGUGAAAAAGAACCUGAAACCGUGUACGUACAAGCAGUGGGAGCACGCUUAGGCGUGUGACUGCGUACCUUUUGUAUAAUGGGUCAGCGACUUAUAUUCUGUAGCAAGGUUAACCGAAUAGGGGAGCCGAAGGGAAACCGAGUCUUAACUGGGCGUUAAGUUGCAGGGUAUAGACCCGAAACCCGGUGAUCUAGCCAUGGGCAGGUUGAAGGUUGGGUAACACUAACUGGAGGACCGAACCGACUAAUGUUGAAAAAUUAGCGGAUGACUUGUGGCUGGGGGUGAAAGGCCAAUCAAACCGGGAGAUAGCUGGUUCUCCCCGAAAGCUAUUUAGGUAGCGCCUCGUGAAUUCAUCUCCGGGGGUAGAGCACUGUUUCGGCAAGGGGGUCAUCCCGACUUACCAACCCGAUGCAAACUGCGAAUACCGGAGAAUGUUAUCACGGGAGACACACGGCGGGUGCUAACGUCCGUCGUGAAGAGGGAAACAACCCAGACCGCCAGCUAAGGUCCCAAAGUCAUGGUUAAGUGGGAAACGAUGUGGGAAGGCCCAGACAGCCAGGAUGUUGGCUUAGAAGCAGCCAUCAUUUAAAGAAAGCGUAAUAGCUCACUGGUCGAGUCGGCCUGCGCGGAAGAUGUAACGGGGCUAAACCAUGCAC